AGCAAUUAUACAGCGAAACUGCGAAUGGCUCAUUAUAUAAGUUAUCGUUUAUUUGAUAGUACCUUACUACUUGGAUAACCGUGGUAAUUCUAGAGCUAAUACAUGCUAAAAAUCCCGACUUCGGAAGGGAUGUAUUUAUUAGAUUAAAAACCAAUGCCCUCUGGGCUCUUUGGUGAUUCAUGAUAACUUCUCGAAUCGCACGGCCUUGCGCCGGCGAUGGUUCAUUCAAAUUUCUUCCCUAUCAACUUUCGAUGUUUGGGUAUUGGCCAAACAUGGUUGCAACGGGUAACGGAGGGUUAGGGCUCGACCCCGGAGAAGGAGCCUGAGAAACGGCUACUACAUCCAAGGAAGGCAGCAGGCGCGCAAAUUACCCAAUCCCGACACGGGGAGGUAGUGACAAUAAAUACUGAUACAGGGCUCUUUUGGGUCUUGUAAUUGGAAUGAGUACAAUUUAAAUCCCUUAACGAGGAACAAUUGGAGGGCAAGUCUGGUGCCAGCAGCCGCGGUAAUUCCAGCUCCAAUAGCGUAUAUUAAAGUUGUUGUGGUUAAAAAGCUCGUAGUUGAACCUUGGGCCUGGCUGGCCGGUCCGCCUCACCGCGUGUACUGGUCCGGCCGGGCCUUUCCCUCUGUGGAACCUCAUGCCCUUCACUGGGUGUGACGGGGAAACAGGACUUUUACUUUGAAAAAAUUAGAGUGCUCCAGGCAGGCCUAUGCUCGAAUACAUUAGCAUGGAAUAAUAAAAUAGGACGUGUGGUUCUAUUUUGUUGGUUUCUAGGACCGCCGUAAUGAUUAAUAGGGACAGUCGGGGGCAUCAGUAUUCAAUUGUCAGAGGUGAAAUUCUUGGAUUUAUUGAAGACUAACUACUGCGAAAGCAUUUGCCAAGGAUGUUUUCAUUAAUCAGGAACGAAAGUUAGGGGAUCGAAGACGAUCAGAUACCGUCGUAGUCUUAACCAUAAACUAUGCCGACUAGGGAUCGGACGAUGUUAUUUUUUGACGCGUUCGGCACCUUACGAGAAAUCAAAGUGCU
rnacentral:rRNA from 1 species